rnacentral:rRNA from 1 species
AGUGAACGCUGGCGGUAGGCCUAACACAUGCAAGUCGAACGGCAGCACAGUAAGAGCUUGCUCUUACGGGUGGCGAGUGGCGGACGGGUGAGGAAUACAUCGGAAUCUACUUUUUCGUGGGGGAUAACGUAGGGACACUUAUGCUAAUACCGCAUACGACCUACGGGUGAAAGCAGGGGUUAUUCGGACCUUUCGCGACUGAUUUAGCCGCUGUCGGAUUAGUUAGUUGGCGGGGUAAAGGACCACCAAGGCAACGCUCCGUAGCUGGUCUGAGGGGAUGGUCGCCAACACUGAACCGAGACACCGGUCAGAAUCCUAAGGGAGGGCGCAGGAGGGAAUUUUUGGCAAUGGGGGGAAGCCUGAAGCAGGCAAGCCGGGUGAGGGAAGAAGGGCCUCCGGUUGUUAAACCCUUUUUGUUGGGAAGAAAAAACGUGAGAUUAAUACCCCGCGGUUCGACGGUACCCAAAAAAAAAGCCACGGCUAACUUCGUG